UACGGAGGGGGCUAGCGUUGUUCGGAAUUACUGGGCGUAAAGCGCGCGUAGGCGGACCUGCAAGUCGGGGGUGAAAGCCCGAGGCUCAACCUCGGAACUGCCUUCGAUACUGCGGGUCUCGAGUCCGGGAGAGGUGAGUGGAAUUCUCGGUGUAGAGGUGAAAUUCGUAGAUAUUGAGAGGAACAUCGGUGGCGAAGGCGGCCUUCUGGACGGUGACUGACGCUGAGACGCGAAAGCGUGGGGAGCAAACAGG
rnacentral:rRNA from 1 species